UACGAAGGGGGCUAGCGUUGUUCAGAAUUACUGGGCGUAAAGGGCGCGUAGGCGGCUCAUGAAGGCUGUGGUGAAAGUCCGGGGCUCAACCUCGGAUCGGCCGUGGCGACUCGUGGGCUGGAGCACUGUAGAGGCGGGUGGAAUUCCGGGUGUAGCGGUGGAAUGCGUAGAGAUCCGGAAGAACACCAGUGGCGAAGGCGGCCCGCUGGGCAGUGGCUGACGCUGAGGUGCGAAAGCGUGGGGAGCAAACAGG
rnacentral:rRNA from 1 species